UUCCCGACAAUGGACCGAUCGUGACGGGAAACUGGUCAAUCUACCUGUCAGUCUCCUGGUGGAGGGUGACAUCAUCUCUUUACGCCCUGGCAGUGAAGCACCAACUGAACUUAGAGGAAUUCAGGAAGAAGAGCAUGUUGUUUUAUCCUGCAGUGAUGUGUUUAGUGUUUUCUCCUCUCCCCCUUCGCCAUUGGAUAGUGGAAGGACCCGCCCACAUUGUUUGCUCCAGCCACAGCUCUUCAGGGUAACAAAGACUACAGCGGCUGAGGUGGUUCAGAAGUGUUUGGAGCUUUCUCAAGACAGACCUGUGUCUGUUCUGGAUAAUGAACGAUUUACUGUACAAAGUUUACUAGAAAGAGGCCCAGCGCCUUUUGUGCUGGUGCUGCUUCUGGGGCUGAAUCUGUUGCGUAUUUUGUUUGGCGCUCCUGGUGUGGGACCGUGGCCUGUCACACUCCUGCAGCUACCUGUGAUAUCCAAAAUACACAAAUUCACAUACACUCAUGAACACUGAAAGAC